rnacentral:rRNA from 1 species
UACGAGGGGGGCGAGCGUUGUUCGGAAUUAUUGGGCGUAAAGGGUGCGUAGGCGGUUUGGUAAGUCUGAUGUGAAAUCUAUGGGCUCAACUCAUAGUCUGCAUCGGAAACUGCCGGGCUUGAGUGUGGGAGAGGUGAGUGGAAUUCCCGGUGUAGCGGUGAAAUGCGUAGAUAUUCGCAAGAGCACCAGUGGCGAAGGCGGCUCACUGGCCCGAUACUGACGCUGAGGUGCGAAAGCGUGGGGAGCAAACAGG